AUUGAACGCUGGCGGCAGGCCUAACACAUGCAAGUCGAGCGGAGCGGCGGACGGGUGAGUAAUGCCUAGGAAUCUGCCUGGUCGUGGGGGAUAACGUUCGGAAACGGGCGCUAAUACCGCAUCCUCUCAGAUGAGCAUAGGUCGGGUUAGCUAGUGGGUGGGGUAAAGGCCUACCAAGGCGACGAUCCGUAACUGGUCUGAGAGGAUGAUCAGGCACACUGGAACUGAGACACGGUCCAGACUCCUACGGGAGGCAGCAGUGGGGAAUAUUGGACAAUGGGCGAAAGCCUGAUCCAGCCAUGCCGCGUGUGUGAAGAAGGUCUUCGGGUUGUAAAGCACUUUAAGUUGGGAGGCGUUACCAACAGAAUAAGCACCGGCUAACUCCGUGCCAGCAGCCGCGGUAAUUC
rnacentral:rRNA from 1 species